rnacentral:lncRNA from 1 species
UUUGUUUUUAGGUUGUUUGAUCUUCAAUUGAAAAUGGGAUCAUUUUUGUUGAGUAGUUUCUGAAUUUUAUUGUGAUAGCUUACAAUGAUUUUGCCUUAUUUUAUAAUGGGAAAUGAAAAAUAGAAAAUGAUUAUAAGCCUUUAGCAACCCAUCAUUUCUAGUUGUUAUAAUCACUUUACUUCCAUGCAUCUAACUAAUGGA